UGGCACGGGGGGACGGGGCGCAGCAGGCGCGAAAACUUUACAAUGCGGGAAACCGUGAUAAGGGGACACCGAGUGCCAGCAUCAUAUGCUGGCUGUCCGGGUGUGUAAAAUACACCUGUUAGCAAGGGCCGGGCAAGACCGGUGCCAGCCGCCGCGGUAACACCGGCGGCCCGAGUGGUGAUCGUGAUUAUUGGGUCUAAAGGGUCCGUAGCCGGUUUGGUCAGUCCUCCGGGAAAUCUGAUAGCUCAACUAUUAGGCUUUCGGAGGAUACUGCCAGACUUGGAACCGGGAGAGGUAAGAGGUACUACAGGGGUAGGAGUGAAAUCUUGUAAUCCCUGUGAGACCACCUGUGGCGAAGGCGUCUUACCAGAACGGGUUCGACGGUGAGGGACGAAAGCUGGGGGCACGAACCGGAUUAGAUACCCGGGUAGUCCCAGCCGUAAACGAUGCUCGCUAGGUGUCAGGCAUGGCGCGACCGUGUCUGGUGCCGCAGGGAAGCCGUGAAGCGAGCCACCUGGGAAGUACGGCCGCAAGGCUGAAACUUAAAGGAAUUGGCGGGGGAGCACAACAACGGGUGGAGCCUGCGGUUUAAUUGGACUCAACGCCGGACAACUCACCGGGGGCGACAGCACUAUGUAGGCCAGGCUGAAGACCUUGCCUGAAUCGCUGAGAGGAGGUGCAUGGCCGUCGCCAGUUCGUACUGUGAAGCAUCCUGUUAAGUCAGGCAACGAGCGAGACCCGUGCCCACUGUUACCAGCAUGUCCUCCGGGACGAUGGGUACUCUGUGGGGACCGCCGGUGUUAAAUCGGAGGAAGGUGCGGGCCACGGUAGGUCAGUAUGCCCCGAAUCUCCCGGGCUACACGCGGGCUACAAUGGAUGGGACAAUGGGUCCCUACCCCGAAAGGGGAUGGUAAUCUCACAAACCCAUUCGUAGUUCGGAUCGAGGGCUGUAACUCGCCCUCGUGAAGCUGGAAUCCGUAGUAAUCGCGUUUCAAUAUAGCGCGGUGAAUACGUCCCUGCUCCUUGCAGGAAUUCGCCGA
rnacentral:rRNA from 1 species